rnacentral:rRNA from 1 species
GGGGAAUUGUUCACAAUGGGCGCAAGCCUGAUGACGCAACGCCGCGUGGAGGAUGAAGGUCUUCGGAUUGUAAACUCCUGUUGCCCGGGACGAAACGCUUCGACCUAACCCGUCGAAGUCUGACGGUACCGGGUGAGGAAGCCCCGGCUAACUCUGUGCCAGCAGCCGCGGUAAUACGGAGGGUGCAAGCGUUAUCCGGAUUCACUGGGUUUAAAGGGUGCGUAGGAGGACAGGUAAGUCCGUGGUGAAAUCUCCGAGCUUAACUCGGAAACUGCCGUGGAUACUCUCUGUCUUGAAUAUCGUGGAGGUGAGCGGAAUAUGUCAUGUAGCGGUGAAAUGCUUAGAUAUGACAUAGAACACCAAUUGCGAAGGCAGCUCGCUACACGAAUAUUGACUCUGAGGCACGAAAGCGUGGGGAUCAAA